ACGGAGGGUGCAAGCGUUAUCCGGAUUUACUGGGUUUAAAGGGUGCGUAGGUGGGCCUGUAAGUCAGUGGUGAAAUCUUCGAGCUUAACUCGGAAACUGCCAUUGAUACUAUAGGUCUUGAAUAUUCUGGAGGUGAGCGGAAUAUGUCAUGUAGCGGUGAAAUGCUUAGAUAUGACAUAGAACACCGAUUGCGAAGGCAGCUUACUACACAAUGAUUGACGCUGAGGCACGAGAGCGUGGGGAUCAAACAGGA
rnacentral:rRNA from 1 species